rnacentral:rRNA from 1 species
UACGUAGGGGCUAGCGUUAUCCGGAUUUAUUGGGUUUAAAGGGUGCGCAGGUUGUUUGAUAAGUCAGUGGUGAAAGUCUGUCGCUCAACGGUAGGAUUGCCAUUGAUACUGUUAGACUUGAAUAUGGAUGAGGUAGGCGGGAUGUGUAGUGUAGCGGUGAAAUGCAUAGAUAUUACACAGAACACCGAUUGCGAAGGCAGCUUACUAAUCCAUCAUUGACGCUGAGGCACGAAAGCGUGGGGAUCAAACAGGAUUA